CUGGGAUACACGGGGAGACAUGGGGCAUUGAGACACUGUGAUACAUAGGAUCACUGGGAGACCUGGGGACACGACACUAGGGGACACUGGGAGACAUGGGGCACUGAGACCCUGAUACAUAGGAACACUGAGACCUGGAGUAAUCGACACAUGGGGGCACCGAGUCAUGAGGGCACUGGGAGACAUGGGGGCACUGGGAGGAAUCCAUCUAUACAGCAAAAUCAAA